rnacentral:rRNA from 1 species
UACAGAGGGUGCGAGCGUUGUUCGGAAUUACUGGGCGUAAAGCGCGCGCAGGCGGCCCUUUAAGUCUGACGGUGAAAUGCCGGGGCUCAACCCCGUGCCCGCCGCGGAUACCGGAGGGCUGGAGACACGUAGAGGCAAGCGGAAUUCCGGGUGUAGCGGUGGAAUGCGUAGAGAUCCGGAAGAACACCGGAGGCGAAGGCGGCUUGCUGGGCGUAGUCUGACGCUGAGGCGCGAAAGCGUGGGGAGCGAACAGG